UAAGAAAACUCCGCUAAUGGUGCUGCUCUUUAAUCUCUUUGAUAGAAGGCGGAUGAUUCUGUAAUUUCAGGAUGUAUAUAAAGCAGGCAUUUAACCUGCUUGCUUAGUUCUCUUCAUUGUGCAACCAACAAUAGGCAGGAGAACCAAAAUCAUAUCGGAUCUGCUGAUAUCUGUUUCAAAAGAAUAGAGACAAGCCAGGAUUAAAGUUCACCAAGAUUCCUUAAGACUUGAUUUCAACUUGUUAGUUAAUAGCAUUUGCAUAUGGCUUUAGCUGGAAUCUUGAUACUGGCAUUUUUUUUUUCAGGCAUUUAACCUGCUUGCUUAGUUCUCUUCAUUGUGCAACCAACAAUAGGCAGGAGAACCAAAAUCAUAUCGGAUCUGCUGAUAUCUGUUUCAAAAGAAUAGAGACAAGCCAGGAUUAAAGUUCACCAAGAUUCCUUAAGACUUGGUAGUGUGGGUGUUAUCGGGUAUUUUCCACCAGCAUGCUUUGAGCUCAGCAAGACCCCUUUAAUAUCAUUGAAGACGCCCUUUUGGGCAUGACCAAACUCAAGAACGAAUACUACGCGAAGACACAGUUAUAAAAGCUUGCAGGGUUGAAUUCCCUACGAAGCCUAUUAUCUCAAAUGAGGCGAAGGUGAGUUUGAUUUGAGUCUGGUAGUUUUCACAGCAUAUUCUCUUAGGUCUUAUUCUCACAGCAACAGUGGAUGAUGAUUUUUGUACGUGCAUCUGAUGGAUUACAUGAUUUGAUUUGUCAAUGUCUGACCUAUAACCAAGCAGAGAGACCAGAUGUUUUAACCAUUGCUCAAGAUCCAUAUCUUACAUACUUAAAGAAGUAAAGAGUGUACAAAGUCAUCGGAAACUACUAGAGAAAUGUAACUGUAUCAGAAACUACUUCCCAUGAAAUGUAUAAUUCCUGCAUCUUCUGUAAGAAAUUGUCCAUCAUGUAAUCUAGCGCACCGAGAUUCAUGCCGAGAAAGCAUGGUAGUUCCAUAAAUCUGUCAUUUAUUAAAAGUAUGGUCAUUUAAUAUGUAUAUCAUCACUUUGUCAUCAUACAUGUGUUUGUGUGUAAUCCUUUUGAAAUCAUGAAAUUCUGGAAAUAUUAACACUGUAUAGAGAGUUAUAUGUUCAAAGAUGUUGGGAGGCUGAAAAGAGCACCUUAUGGGAGUUAAAAGUGGGGGAGCGAGGAUCAAGACGGGGAUGGGGGAUGCAUUUCUUUAUUGUAGUUCCUUGUUUCAGGAAUUGAUUGGAUCUUGGUUAAUUUAUUAAUUUUUUUUGUGCUUUCUUUGUUUCGUCAAUUUAUUUGACUUUGGCUUGAUCCAUUUUAAGUGGGCUACCCUUUGCUUUCUCUUACAACUGUCUUCUGCAGUUGGAGAUAACAGACCUGACAAGAAUAUUUUUUUUCAUUCCAUUCGUUUUGUAUUGAGUGAUCUCUUCCACAACCUAUGCAAUUAUGACAAGCAUUAACUACUCGAUGGAGGUGCAGGACAUCAAGUUUUAUCUGCUUUCAUUGAUAUUGUGUUGAUAAUUCUGACAAUGGCAUCUCGGUGAUCGUUGUUUUUCCUUAAAAGUUGUUUUUUAAGCAUCUUUUCUGGAAGUGCUUAAUUGGUUGAAUGUGCUUUUGGUUUGUAAAGACGUUGAAGAACUCAAGCUUUCUGUGGCAAAAGAUCACAUCCAGACUGUCGAUGGCUGCUAAUUUGAGGGGUUAUGUACUGACCAAUAGUGAUGGGGAAAGGUAUAUAUAUUAUCUUGUUGUGCAGCAUAGCUCUAUUUUGUUGCCAAACAUUUAUGUUGUACUCCUAGACUUACUCUAUCAACCACAUUCUUAAUAUGAAUAAUUAAGGUAUCCUCAGUUAGUUUCGCCAAAUGUUGAAAGUGCAUAGAAUAUUUAAUCCACACAACAAGAUGUAACUCCUCUCAAGAAUACAAUAGACCAGUCAUACCAUACAUUCAUGUUAAAUAUUUUUAAUACGUCUCUUUUGGGUACUUUGUUACCUUUAAAUACUUGGAGUUUGACUGACCUUAAAAAUUUUCUUAUGAUGCUUUUCUUAGGUAAAAUGGAUGGAAGCUUUAACUUACUGUGAGACACCUAUUGCAUAAGCUUUUCUCUUAGCAUAAAUAGUGAUUAAGUAAGGAAGAAAGUCGUUAUGACGGGGGGGCUUUUAUGAUUAUCGAUGCUCAAAGUUGAAGUUUAUGAACAUAAUUAUGUAGAACAAAUCACAUUGAGGUAAGAAAUCUCAUGAUUGUGCAGUUUCCAUCACAGACUAAAAUGAGAAAACAGAGAGCUAGAGACUAAUUUCACAACUAAUCUGAAAUAACAAAAACAAAAUUUGGAAGCCCUAAUAUCCUUUGCUAAAUCUGAGAUGUUACAUGGUUCUUAAUUGUAGGGGAAGGAACUAAAUGAUGUUAACUCAUUGGCUGAAGUCAUAACACUAACUCUAAAGUGUGCUUUGAGUUGUUUUUAGAAACUUGAUUUUAAUAUUUCACUAUAAAAAUAUUUUUUUGACUAGCUGUUCUUCCAGGUGUUUCUGACAGGAUGGAUAGACUCAAUGCUGAAGUCACAACACAACUCUGAACUGUGAAUAUGCUUUAUUGUUUCUUUAUGUGAUAAAUGACUAGUCUAAGCUUCAGUUUUUUGUUCUUGUCUUUUAAUGUAUUAUUAAACUAUUAUGGCUUGUAAUCAAUGUUUUAAAUUAAUUUAUCCUGUCUGAUUUUCCAGCCGUUAUCCUUGCUGAAAUCCUAGAAGAUGAUGUUUUGGUCUUCCCCCACAUGUAUAAGAGGAGUUUGAAAGAGUUGCAUAAAAUGCUUCAUUGGUGCAAUGAGCAUUUCAACAGUUCAGCCAUGUAAACAAGGAGGCACUAGAUCAACAUGUAAAUCUCACUAGGAAACAGGAGGAACUUCAGACACGGCAAGCUGAACUUGAGGCAAGUGACAAGGUACUACGGUACUGGAUUUUAAUGGUUAAAUGUCUUCUGUUGUACUUAUUGUUUUUAAUGUGAGAUUAUGAUUUAUGUAUCUUUACUUCAACGAUAAACAUAAGCCAUAAAAAAAUAGACUGAGCUUGAGCCUGAUGUGAAAGACGUGCUAGAGAGAAUUUCAGAACAUAUCCAAGCCAAGGUAUCAAACUGUAGCAAAGAGAAAAAUGCUAAUUAUUUUUUGGGGAUAAAAAAUGUUGAAUGCUUUUAUUUAACAUGUGCUUUGCUUUCAGGAUGAUGCUAUGCUAAAAUGUAAGGUAUCUCCUCAACUAAAAUUUUCUACAUAUUACUACCUAAGCUAUAAUUUCAGCUGAAAGGGCCUCACUUUAGGUUUUUGUCCUCUACUGUCAAUAAACUAAUUUAUACAGCUAACAUGGUCGGUAAUAAUAAAACACAGUCUAGUAGAUGGAGAAUUUGCAAAUAAGUAAUUAAAACAUCAUUAUUUAAGAAUUAUUUGUGUAUUUUGUUACUUAAAUUAAUAUGUUAGGGGAUUUUAUACCUUCUUUGAUUUGACCUAGUGGAGGAUUUGGGGGACCUGAAUGGACACACAUAGUCGAGUGAAAUUUGAUUUUUUGCAAUUUAUACAGGUUUCCUUACUCUUGUGGAUAUGAACUCUUCUACUUUCGUCGUAGAUUCAAGGAAGCUUUUGUGGAUUUCUAGGUUUUCUUUCCUUCACUUGUUGUUGGGUGAUUUUUCGUUUUAGUCCAAGGAACCGGAACCAUCUUGUUAUGAGAAAUAAUUGAUUUUUAUUUUCCACAUUAACUGGACACUUCGAUGAUAAGUUUUUUACCUUUUCCAGAUGUUGUACUAGCUACAAAUGUUCGGGAUUUAUUCAAGGUCUAUAGCAGUAACUAGUAGAUGCCCACCAUUAUACUAAAAACAAGACCCCUUUGAAAAUUUCUAGUUUUAUGAUGAGCUGUCUUCAAGGUUUAUGUGUAAAUGUAUGGAUUAAUUGAAAUUAGAUAAGUAUGUUUUGCUACUUGGUAUGAGUAUGCAAUUGAACUUCUUAACUCUAUUGUUGCAAGUCCUCGUGCCUCUCUUGCCAUUUCCUUUAUAUUCUGAUUUUUUGAUUUUAAAUAAGUCAUCUACUUCAGGAAGAAAAUUAUAGGCUGAAUGCAGACUUCAAAGAGCGAAAUGCCUACGUUGAGAGCUGCAGAGCUGAAAUCGUUAUUUUCUAGUCUCAUGAAGGAUUCAAUAGUCAUAAAGCAUAGAGAAACAAGCUACAAGAAGCAUGUAUCCUUUUCUCUUUCUAUUUUGGUCAGGCUUAUUGAAAGGGCAUAGUUUGACUAGACUUUUCUGCUUUUGUAGAUCAUGGUGAAAAAGAAAAGUGAACUUAUUGUUGAAUUUGAUAAGCUAAGACCACAAGUGUUCUUAUUCCUCUGUCGUUGGGUCCUAUUUAUAGGAAAAAUCUCUUGUAGAUGUCACUAAUCAAAUAGUGAGCUUAAAGCCACUGUGACCACGAAACAAGGUGAGGUGGGCACAGAGCUCAUUGAUCACUUAACACCACAGGAAAAACAUGAACUAUCCCAGCUGAACUAAGAAAUAAAAGAUCUUAAAGAGGAGCUUAUUAAAUUUAGAACAGAUCGCAUCGAGGUAAGAUAUCUCAACCUUGUGAGAAGCAACUGUACUUAUCCUUAACAGGUAUUUGUUCUGUUUCACAUGAAGCUUUUGUGGCCUUCCAAGCUACUUCCAUAUUUAUGAUCUGCUUUCUGAUAGGCCUCUUGCUUGCUGUCAUGCAUGCCUAUAUGCUAAUGGGUGUAUGGUAAUACAUUGCCCCAAAAGUUUCUGUAUAUUUGUUGCUAAUUGAGGUGGGUGACUUUUUGGAAGAAAAUAGUUUAUUAUCGUUUAUUAUUGCCACCUGUUGCACUAGAGGUGAUAGAUUGAUGUUGCACUGAUGUGUCUUGGCCUCAAACCCUAGAAAAAUAAUAUUACUUGUCACUGAAAAAUGAGUAAAUAAAAAGAAACGAAUUAUUCCUCAUGCUUUUACAAUGUCUAUCUGCUAUUUGUGAUUUAUUAAGAUACAUUUUGAGUAUUAACAUUAGUUUUUGUUACUAUGAAGGCAAAGGUGAUGGUACAAAUGCAGAAUCUGGAGCACAUGAAGAAGAUUUUCUCAUCCAGGAUGAGAUUUCUAAAUCUUGUCUAGUGAACGUGUAGCGUGUAAGUCAUUCUUUAUGGAGAUGCUGCAUUUUGCAAGUAUUGCAAAAGUUGCAAGUGCUCCAUUAUACAUGCAUCCCUUGUUAUUGAAUUGUUGAUUAUCUGUAGGAGGAAGAGACAAUUUUGCAUGAGAGAGACGGCUAUAAACUGGAAGAGGGACGUCUUAUACGUGAAUUGAAAAGGAUACGAGAUGAGGAUGAUUCAAGUUUUAAUAAUUUUCAGAUUUUAAAUCAUCAAUAUGCCCUUUUAAACCUUCUUGGGCAAGGAGGAUUUAGUGAGGUUUACAAGGUCCGAACUUCGGCAAGUAGUUUCAAUUGAUAAUAGAAAGUAGUUUCAUUUGAUAAUAGAAACACUAACCUUUGCUUGUUUGAUGAAAAUUCUUAUAUACCAUGACAAGAGUAUAGAUCAUUCUGUUGCCAAUAUUGACAAUUGUAAAAGCACAUCCUUUUGCAGUGAUUUGAAGUGAGAAAUUUCCGGCAGGCUUAUGAUUUGGUCGAGCAUAGGAAGGUGCAGGGCAUCAUGUUUUAUCUGCUUUUGUUGAGAUUGUGUUGAUAAUUCCGACAAUCACAUCCCGGUAAUACUUCAUAACCUACUUCUUUUUCUUUUCUGAGGUAUGGAGUGUAAAUAAUGGUCCACAUCUUAUUACGAAAGAAGAAGGAUCCUGAAUUUUAUA